rnacentral:rRNA from 1 species
UACAGAGGACUCAAGCGUUGUUCGGAUUCAUUGGGCGUAAAGGGCGCGUAGGCGGGGUGGCAAGUCGGUCGUGAAAUCCUUCGGCUCAACCGAAGAACGUCGAUCGAUACUGCUGUUCUUGAGGGUUGCAGAGGAGACUGGAAUUCCCGGUGUAGCGGUGAAAUGUGUAGAGAUCGGGAGGAACACCGGUGGCGAAGGCGGGUCUCUGGGCAAUUACUGACGCUGAGGCGCGAAAGCGUGGGGAGCAAACGGG